rnacentral:rRNA from 1 species
GCAGUAAGGAAUAUUGGUCAAUGGAGGGAACUCUGAACCAGCCAUGCCGCGUGCAGGAAGACAGCCCUCUGGGUCGUAAACUGCUUUUAUUCGGGAAUAAACCACACUACGUGUAGUGUGCUGAAUGUACCGAAGGAAUAAGGAUCGGCUAACUCCGUGCCAGCAGCCGCGGUAAUACGGAGGAUCCAAGCGUUAUCCGGAUUUAUUGGGUUUAAAGGGUGCGUAGGCGGCUUUUUAAGUCAGGGGUGAAAGACGGUAGCUCAACUAUCGCAGUGCCCUUGAUACUGAAGAGCUUGAAUGGACUAGAGGUAGGCGGAAUGUGACAAGUAGCGGUGAAAUGCAUAGAUAUGUCACAGAACACCGAUUGCGAAGGCAGCUUACUAUGGUUUAAUUGACGCUGAGGCACGAAAGCGUGGGGAUCAAACAGGAUUAGA